rnacentral:lncRNA from 1 species
CCGAAUGGCACGCAGCCCUAGUCACGUGGGUCGUGUCGCUCCAGCGCUAUAAAAGCGGACGCUCUCUGCUGCUCGCUCUCUUUCUCGCCGCAGCACGUGCGUGUUUGUGCUGCCUCAGACAUACAGGAGAGAGCCGCUCAAAUAAAGCACGUUCAUGAUGAAUUACACGCGAGAAUCCCAUCGCAGCGCUUACAAACCACCAUGAUAAACGCUGGAGUCAAUGUGACUUGGUCAUGAUUCUCUACUGGCUGAUUUACUGUGUGAUAAUUAGGCGCAGUUCAUGAAAAUGGUGAACGUCUAUCUAAAUGCUGAUUCAGCACUGAUCAGGUAGAUCUCUUUUCAAAACUUAAACCUGUUUGGCUGCGUCUUCCCGAGAUGAUCGGGCUUCUGUAACCUUUGACAUCCCAUCUGAAGCAUGUUUUCUCUUACAGAUGGAGCUGAAACCACCAGGAAGUGUCCUGAUUCACUUGGAUAAAGCGCUGUACGUAUAUUUAUUUUACUAUAAAUUCACGGUGUAAUUCAAUGCUUUUUGGUCGGAUUAGUCGGUUAUAAAGAGAAAAUCUGACCCAAGGUUAUUAAUUCAAGCCUAUGAUGAGAGAAGUUAUCCCUGUCUGAAAACACGUGUGGAGUUUUGGUAGUCUGAGGCUUGUUUAAAUAUUCUUUGCUUUAACUAAAAAAAAAAAAAAAUCUAAUUUAACUGAAGUGACUCGUUUUUCAAUUUUUGCAGAU